rnacentral:lncRNA from 1 species
UGCCGUAUGGACAACCCUUUAUCUACUAUUAGUUGUCAGAGAUUACAAAGGUGAUAAAUAAAAUACAUAAUCCAUUAUGAUUUGUUUUGAAGAGUCAAAAGAUUCAAAAUAAUAUAAAUAAUGGCAGCAGUAGUAUACCGCUGUUCAAAAAUCGAUUAAGCAUAUACAAACUUUAAAACACUCAAAUGCAAUAAAAAUAUUAUUGCUUUAAAGAUCGUUGCGGGGAUAAUUAAAGGAUCUCGAUUAAUAUACACGUAAGCGACAUCGUAUUGUAAUACGAUUGCAUAGUGUAGUUAAGUAGUGGUAACUAACUUAAGUAUGGCCGAACGUUAGUAUCAUUUGUAUACAUACGACCCAAUGGUGAUUGAGUAACCUCGUCCAGCAGUAAAACUCUUGCUGAAUGAGGAAGGGAGUCUUUUGGCUGCGGAGUAUAUACAUACGCAAAAACGUCAAACCUGAGAGGGAAAUUAAAUUAGAAGAGCAUACAUUAGUUCAGUAAAAACUUUUCAAAAAAAAACUUCCCCUCCUGUUUUCAUCCUGGAUAUGAAUAUUAUUUUGUUACAGAGAUGUCAAUUUACGAAGACAUAUCGAUAGUGGAAGCCGUGACAUUUUUGCUCGUGCCUAACUUUUAUGAUCAUCAACUAUUGAGUUAUAUCGUUUUUCUUUUUCAGAGAACUUCUCUUAUGUGUGUUAUUGACAUCAUCAAAGUAUAAAGUGUUGCCACUAAAACCAAUUUGAGAGAUCGUCUAAACUUGCAUUUGGAUGAGUGUUCUUGGUCGCUCCUGAGAGCUUCACUUAAGUCAAGUUUCAAUUUGAUGAGUAAUAAUGUAUCUCUGUAUUGACAUAUUUGCAUCAGUGUUAAAGCGUGUAUGUCACUUUACUUGUCUUUUGUUUUUUCUUUCCUUUUUGUUGAAUUACUUUGGUUUUACAUAUGCGUGUAGUAAUUGUAUGUCUGCAAUCAGGUUUACUAGAACCAUUACAAACAAGAAAAAAGGCUCAUUUUUACAUCGUUUCGUUUCUUGCAUGGAUACACUGUUUUAGUUCGAUAAAUAUUCUUUUCAACAUAAGCUAAAAUAUCAUAAAAUACGAUAAAUGUUGGUUAAGUGCAUUGCUUGCAAAACUGCAGUAAAAUACAUAGGACAACUAGAUUUCAGAAGAGAAAGUGUCGCUCACCUUGGUUUAUGUGCAUAUCAAACUAAGGACAUUCUCCAACAUUGUAGACGAAAAUAGACCAGGGAAAAGUCAAUUUUGUUGAUCUUGUAUUACUGAUAAUUUUGUCUGAUUAGUUUCCGUCUUUAGUGUUUGCUUAAACAUAAAAGAGGCUUAAACAAUUCCUUAUUCAAGGGCAAUCACUCCUACGAAGAGGUACAUUCUACUAACUAUAUAGGCAGAAUUUGACUUUUUAAUAAAUCUUGCCUAGCUGAUCAUUUUUUUUUUUUUGUGAUUUAAAGUGUGAUUUAUCUAUUAUAAUUUUAUUAAAUUAUAUAAGGCAUAACGGACAAAAUUGUUUCUCUCUAAAUCUCAGAUUUCAUGCUGAAUUUCAAAUUUUAAAAAAAUGAUGAAAAAAUACAUUCAUAGGCAAUAACUCCUAUAAGAAUUUGUCGAACAGUUUUGACGUAUAAGACUAUUGGUUGAGCUCAUUAUUCUGAACAUCUUUGCUCCUUUCAGGUUUCUCUAUUUUUUUAUUUAAAACGCUUCCCAAAAUAAUAGACAUAACUUGCAUUUUACCGCUAUGUUCUAGUUUUAGCUAUGUCGGUUUUGUUGUUUGGUAGGCGGGGUCAUCGGACACAUUUUAAAAUUAGAUACCCUAAUGAUGAUAUUGUCCAAGUAAAGGGCAAUUUGCUAGAAAUUAUUCCUGUUUACAAUUUAUCUUACCUAAACAUGUAAAAAUAUUCAAGAUAAUAACCAAAAACUGCAAAAUGUUCUUAAAAUUACCAAUUUAGUGGCAGCAACCCAACAACAGGUUGUCUGAUUUGUCUGAAAAUUUCAGGGCAGAGAGCUUUUAACAUUAUGAGAUGUUAAAUUUGCUAAAUGUUUUAGUUUUAGAGGUAUAAGCCAAAAUCUGUAUUUCACAUCUCGAUACCCUAAUGAUGAUUCUGGCCAAAAUUGAUUAAAUUUUUCUCAAUGGUUUCAGAAGAGAAGAUU